CUCUCAAAAUCUAGAAUCCUCUUUCCCCUUCUCCUUACCAAAUACGGCCCUCACCAUGAGCCACCCUAUCAUCCAAUUUUUCAUCAAUUCUUCAUGGAAAUCAUGUUGUAAAUAGUUCAAGUGUAUUCUUUAGAGUGGAAUAAGCAAGAAAUAAGCUUCAAAAUUCAUCCUCCCUCCUUAAUUCCUCAUGACCACCCCUCUCUUUCAACUUUCCAAUUCUUCAUUUUUCUUUCAAAUUCCAUGGAAAGCAACUUAUAAGCAUGUUUUUGGAGCAACCAAGAGUGGAAUAACACUAGGAAUGUAAUUUAUGUUGUGGUGAUUAUGAUAGUGACUUGGCUGAUACAUACGGAGCUAGGGAAUUACAUUCAAGGUUAAUUACGGAUGCCCUCAUGGUUGAGGUUUGAAAUGCAAAAUAAGUGAGACGGGUCUAUGCUAUUUUUAAAGGAUUAAAGAUAUUCAGGUUACUAGACGGCAUAAUGAUUCGUGAUGAAGAAGCAGAAGUCGCUGGACCAUACAAAGUUCACAUCAGAGGUAUAUGACGAGAAUUUUCUAUAUCUUAUUCAAAAAAAAAAUUAUUAUUGUAAUUUUAAUGUACCCAAUGCCAAGUUUAACACACACGCUAGAUAUCCUAGGUAAUUUCUAGCAGGGAUGUUUCAAUAUAUUUUGUGAUUCAAUGCAAUAGGAUUCACAAAAGUUA